GACAGAGGGUGCAAACGUUGUUCGGAAUCACUGGGUAUAAAGAGCGCGUAGGCGGUCUGACAAGUCCCCUGUGAAAGCCCCCGGCUUAACCGGGGAACUGCAUGGGAUACUGUUGGGCUAGAGUGCAGGAGGGGAGAGCGGAAUUCCUGGUGGAGCGGUGAAAUGCGUAGAUAUCAGGAGGAACGCCGGCGGCGAAAGCGACUCUCUGGCCUGUAACUGACGCUGAGGCGCGAAAGCUAGGGGAGCAAACGGG
rnacentral:rRNA from 1 species